GACGAACGCUGGCGGCGUGCUUAACACAUGCAAGUCGAACGAAGAGCGAUGGAAGCUUGCUUCUAUCAAUCUUAGUGGCGAACGGGUGAGUAACGCGUAAUCAACCUGCCCUUCAGAGGGGGACAACAGUUGGAAACGACUGCUAAUACCGCAUACGAUCUAAUCUCGGCAUCGAGGAUAGAUGAAAGGUGGCCUCUACAUGUAAGCUAUCACUGAAGGAGGGGAUUGCGUCUGAUUAGCUAGUUGGAGGGGUAACGGCCCACCAAGGCGAUGAUCAGUAGCCGGUCUGAGAGGAUGAACGGCCACAUUGGGACUGAGACACGGCCCAGACUCCUACGGGAGGCAGCAGUGGGGAAUCUUCCGCAAUGGACGAAAGUCUGACGGAGCAACGCCGCGUGAGUGAUGACGGCCUUCGGGUUGUAAAGCUCUGUUAAUCGGGACGAAAGGCCUUCUUGCGAAUAGUGAGAAGGAUUGACGGUACCGGAAAGAAAGCCACG
rnacentral:rRNA from 1 species